rnacentral:rRNA from 1 species
CAGUCGCCACGGUAAUACGAAGGGUGCAAGCGUUAAUCGGAAUUACUGGGCGUAAAGCGUGCGCAGGCGGUUCGCUAAGACAGAUGUGAAAUCCCCGGGCUUAACCUGGGAACUGCAUUUGUGACUGGCGGGCUAGAGUAUGGCAGAGGGGGGUAGAAUUCCACGUGUAGCAGUGAAAUGCGUAGAGAUGUGGAGGAAUACCGAUGGCGAAGGCAGCCCCCUGGGCCAAUACUGACGCUCAUGCACGAAAGCGUGGGGAGCAAACAGGAUUAGAUACCCCCGUAGUCCCUGUCUCUUAUAC